GAAACCAACCGGGAUUGCCUUAGUAACGGCGAGUGAAGCGGCAAAAGCUCAAAUUUGAAAUCUGGUACCUUCGGUGCCCGAGUUGUAAUUUGGAGAGGGCAACUUUGGGGCCGUUCCUUGUCUAUGUUCCUUGGAACAGGACGUCAUAGAGGGUGAGAAUCCCGUGUGGCGAGGAGUGCGGUUCUUUGUAAAGUGCCUUCGAAGAGUCGAGUUGUUUGGGAAUGCAGCUCUAAGUGGGUGGUAAAUUCCAUCUAAAGCUAAAUAUUGGCGAGAGACCGAUAGCGAACAAGUACAGUGAUGGAAAGAUGAAAAGAACUUUGAAAAGAGAGUGAAAAAGUACGUGAAAUUGUUGAAAGGGAAGGGCAUUUGAUCCAGACAUGGUGUUUUGUGCCCUCUGCUCCUUGUGGGUGGGGGAAUCUCGCAUUUCACUGGGCCAGCAUCAGUUUUGGUGGCAGGAUAAAUCCAUAGGAAUGUAGCUUGCCUCGGUAAGUGUUAUAGCCUGUGGGAAUACUGCCAGCUGGGACUGAGGACUGCGACGUAAGUC
rnacentral:rRNA from 1 species